rnacentral:rRNA from 1 species
UACGGAGGGUGCGAGCGUUGUCCGGAAUCACUGGGCGUAAAGGGCGCGUAGGCGGCCUGAUAAAGUAGGGGGUGAAAUCCUGCGGCUUAACCGCGGGCUGCCUUCUAAACUGUCAGGCUAGAGCACGGUAGAGGCAGAUGGAAUUCCCGGUGUAGCGGAUGGAAUGCGUAGAGAUCGGGAAGAACAUCAGUGGCGAAGGCGGUCUGCUGGGCCGUUGC